rnacentral:lncRNA from 1 species
AAAAAAAAAAAUGCUUAUAGAAGAAUUUGUAUCAUCUGGUAGCAGAUUUUGGAGAAGCAUCAAAAUAGUAACUUUUCAGAGUCUGCUCUUUGACUUUUCCACUUAACAAUUAUUAAAAUACUGAAUUUAACCUCAAUUGAUUAAAGUAAUUCCUGUUAGGCCUUAGGUUUAUAAUAUUCCAAUAAUAAAGCAUCUUCCAUUCCAUAGUUCACAUUGAAGAUAAUUUAAACUGGGACCAUUCCUCCUAAUCAUAAAUUUGACACACUUAUUGACAAAUAAUCGUGACCUUUAAUUUAAGUC